UACGUAGGGUGCGAGCGUUGUCCGGAAUUAUUGGGCGUAAAGGGCUCGUAGGCGGUCUGUCACGUCGGGAGUGAAAACUCAGGGCUUAACCCUGAGCCUGCUUCCGAUACGGGCAGACUAGAGGUAUGCAGGGGAGAAUGGAAUUCCUGGUGUAGCGGUGAAAUGCGCAGAUAUCGGGAGGAACACCAGUGGCGAAGGCGGUUCUCUGGGCAUUACCUGACGCUGAGGAGCGAAAGUGUGGGGAGCGAACAGG
rnacentral:rRNA from 1 species